rnacentral:tRNA from 1 species
GGCAUGUAACUCAAUGGUAGAAUCCUUGCCUAGCAAGUUUGAAGUCCUGGGUUCAAUACUCAGCACCA